GCACUGGCUCAAUCAGUAGAGCAUGAGACUCUUAAUCUCAAGCUCAUGGGUUCAAGCCCCUCCCUGAGUA